rnacentral:rRNA from 1 species
GACGUAGGGCGCGAGCGUUGUCCGGAUUUAUUGGGCGUAAAGAGCUCGUAGGUGGCUUGUCACGUCGGGUGUGAAAGCUUGGGGCUUAACUCCAGGUCUGCAUUCGAUACGGGCUGGCUAGAGGUAGGUAGGGGAGAACGGAAUUCCUGGUGUAGCGGUGAAAUGCGCAGAUAUCAGGAGGAACACCGGUGGCGAAGGCGGUUCUCUGGGCCUUACCUGACGCUGAGGAGCGAAAGCGUGGGGAGCGAACAGG